rnacentral:rRNA from 1 species
AUUGAACGCUGGCGGCAUGCCUUACACAUGCAAGUCGAACGGUAACGGGCCUUCGGGUGCCGACGAGUGGCGAACGGGUGCGUAAUACAUCGGAACGUGCCCGAUCGUGGGGGAUAACGAGGCGAAAGCUUUGCUAGUACCGCAUACGAUCUACGGAUGAAAGCAGGGGACCGCAAGGCCUUGCGCGGACGGAGCGGCCGAUGGCAGAUUAGGUAGUUGGUGGGAUAAAAGCUUACCAAGCCGACGAUCUGUAGCUGGUCUGAGAGGAUGAUCAGCCACACUGGGACUGAGACACGGCCCAGACUCCUACGGGAGGCAGCAGUGGGGAAUUUUGGACAAUGGGCGCAAGCCUGAUCCAGCCAUGCCGCGUGCAGGAUGAAGGCCUUCGGGUUGUAAACUGCUUUUGUACGGAACGAAAAGCCUUCUUUUAAUACAGGAGGGUCAUGACGGUACCGUAAGAAUAAGCACCGGCUAACUACGUG